GAGGGGCAGCAUUUCAUUUUGCUUGCAAAGUGAAGAUGGCGACCGGCGCACGGGUGAGUAACACGUAUCCAACCUGCCGAUAACUCGGGGAUAGCCUUUCGAAAGAAAGAUUAAUAUCCGAUAGCAUAUCAAUCCCGCAUGAGAUUGAUAUUAAAGAAUUUCGGUUAUCGAUGGGGAUGCGUUCCAUUAGUUUGUUGGCGGGGUAACGGCCCACCAAGACUACGAUGGAUAGGGGUUCUGAGAGGAAGGUCCCCCACAUUGGAACUGAGACACGGUCCAAACUCCUACGGGAGGCAGCAGUGAGGAAUAUUGGUCAAUGGACGUAAGUCUGAACCAGCCAAGUAGCGUGAAGGAUGACUGCCCUAUGGGUUGUAAACUUCUUUUAUAUGGGAAUAAAGUAUUCCACGUGUGGAAUUUUGUAUGUACCAUAUGAAUAAGGAUCGGCUAACUCCGUGCCAGCAGCCGCGGUAAUACGGAGGAUCCGAGCGUUAUCCGGAUUUAUUGGGUUUAAAGGGAGCGUAGGUGGAUUGUUAAGUCAGUUGUGAAAGUUUGCGGCUCAACCGUAAAAUUGCAGUUGAAACUGGCAGUCUUGAGUACAGUAGAGGUGGGCGGAAUUCGUGGUGUAGCGGUGAAAUGCUUAGAUAUCACGAAGA
rnacentral:rRNA from 1 species